rnacentral:rRNA from 1 species
AAAACCAACCGGGAUUGCCUCAGUAACGGCGAGUGAAGCGGCAAAAAGCUCAAAUUUGAAAUCUGGCACUUUCAGUGUCCGAGUUGUAAUUUGUAGAAGUAGUUUUGGGACUGAUCCUUAUCUAUGUUUCUUGGAACAGGACGCCAUAGAGGGUGAGAACCCCGUAUGAUGAGGCCCCCAGUCCUUUGUAAAACGACUUUCGAAGAGUCGAGUUGUUUGGGAAUGCAGCUCUAAGUGGGUGGUAAAUUCCAUCUAAAGCUAAAUAUUGGCGAGAGACCGAUAGCGAACAAGUACAGUGAUGGAAAGAUGAAAAGAACUUUGAAAAGAGAGUGAAAAAGUACGUGAAAUUAGUUGAAAGGGAAGGGCAUUUGAUCAGACAUGGUGUUUUGCGCCCUUUGCUCCUUGUGGGCGGAGGAUACGCAGCUCACUGGGGCCAACAUCAGUUUUGGGAGCAGGAUAAAUCUGUAGGAACGUAGCUUUCUUCGGGAAGUGUUAUAGCCUACGGGAAUACUGCUACCUGGGA